UGGAGCAGUAUGUUGUGGGUGUCG
rnacentral:siRNA from 1 species